ACUAGAUAUACUAGCUCUCUGCAACUCUCACAUGGUCGCCCACUGAAGCUAAGCAGGGCUGCGCCUGGUCAGUACCUGAAUGGGAGACCACAUGGGAAAGCUAGGUUGCUUGCA
rnacentral:rRNA from 1 species